rnacentral:tRNA from 1 species
AGCUUGGUGGUCGAAUGGUAGGGACACUUGCCCCUCACCCUGAAGUCCCGGGUUCGAUCCCCGGUCGAGGAGCUA